rnacentral:sRNA from 17 species
GCUAUUCACCAAACAGUGGACAAGACUAGACAGCUAGUUCAUACACUGGACAAAUAGCCAGCCUAAGUAUCUUGAAUACUACGUUUUGAGGGUGAUGACACCUACGGGUGCUUUCCAGCUUGUAGCUCUGUC